rnacentral:rRNA from 1 species
GAGUUUGAUCCUGGCUCAGAUUGAACGCUGGCGGCAUGGUUAAGACAUGCAAGUCGAACGAUGAAAGCAUCUUCGGAUGUAUAUGAAGUGGCGAAAGGGCGAGUAACGCGUUCCUAUGUACCCCGAGGUCGAGGAUAGCCAGAGGAAACUCUGAGUAAUACUCGAUGAUAUUUCGGCAUCAAAGGCUUCGGCUGCCUUGGGAGCAAGGAACGUCCUAUCAGGUUGUUGGUGAGGUAACGGCUCACCAAGCCAAAGACGGGUAGCGGGUGUGAGAGCAUGACCCGCCGCAUCGGGACUGAGACACUGCCCGGACUCCUACGGGAGGCUGCAGUAACGAAUCUUCCGCAAUGCGCGAAAGCGUGACGGAGCAAUGCCGCGUGCGGGAUGAAGCUCUUCGGAGUGUAAACCGCUGUCAGGGGCUAGGAACACAAUGACCAACCCCAAAGGAAGGGCCGGCUAACUUCGUGCCAGCAGCCGCGGUAAUACGAAGGGCCCGAGCGUUAAUCGGAAUCACUGGGCUUAAAGCGUACGUAGGCGGAUGCGCAGGCAUCGUGUGAAAUCCCUCCGCUCAACGGAGGAACUGCACGGUGAACCGCGUGUCUUGAGAUUGGUAGGGGCUGUCGGAACGAUAGGUGGAGUGGUGAAAUGCGUUGAUAUCUAUCGGAACGCCGAAGGAGAAGUCAGGCAGCUGGGCCAAUUCUGACGCUGAGGUACGAAAGCGUGGGUAGCGAACGGGAUUAGAUACCCCGGUAGUCCACGCCGUAAACGAUGCACACUAGGUCGCGGAAGCUCUGUCACGCCCUCCCGGCCGAAGGAAAACCAUUAAGUGUGCCGCCUGGGGAGUACGGUCGCAAGGCUAAAACUCAAAGGAAUUGACGGGGGCUCACACAAGCGGUGGAGCAUGUUGCUUAAUUCGAGGCAACGCCGAAGAACCUUACCUAGACUUGACAUGUAUGGAUUAACUGCUGGAAACAGGAGCCACGCCCUUGGGUGGAACAUACACAGGUGCUGCAUGGCUGUCGUCAGCUCGUGCUGUGAAGUGUCGGGUUAAGUCCCUUAACGAGCGCAACCCCUAUCGUUAGUUACUAACACGUUAUGGUGAGGACUCUAACGAGACUGCCGGUGUCAAACCGGAGGAAGGUGGGGAUGACGUCAAGUCCUCAUGGCCCUUAUGUCUAGGGAUGCAAACGUGCUACAAUGGUAUGGACAAAGCGACGCAAUACCGCGAGGUGGAGCAAAUCGCAAAACCAUGCCCCAGUUCGGAAGCAGGCUGAAAUUCGCCUGCUUGAAGCCGGAAUCGCUAGUAAUCGCGUAUCAGCUACGACGCGGUGAAUACGUUCCUGAGCCUUGUACACACCGCCCGUCACGUCAUGGAAGCUGUUAGUGCCCGAAGUCACCUCGUUUCAGGGGUGCCUACGGCAAGAAUGGUGACUGGGACGAAGUCGUAACAAGGUAGCCGUAGGAGAACCUGCGGCUGGAUCACCUCCUUU